rnacentral:rRNA from 1 species
AUUGAACGCUGGCGGCAGGCCUAACACAUGCAAGUCGAACGAGUGGCGGACGGGUGAGUAAUGUCUGGGAAACUGCCUGAUGGAGGGGGAUAACUACUGGAAACGGUAGCUAAUACCGCAUACCAUCGGAUGUGCCCAGAUGGGAUUAGCUAGUAGGUGGGGUAAAGGCUCACCUAGGCGACGAUCCCUACCUGGUCUGAGAGGAUGACCAGCCACAUUGGAACUGAGACACGGGCCAGACUCCUACGGGAGGCAGCAGUGGGGAAGAUGGCACAAGGGGCGCAAGCCGGAUACAGCCAUGCCGCGUGUAGGAAGAAGGCCUGCGGGUUGUAAAGUACGUGCAGCGGGGAGGCGUUACCCGCAGAAGAAGCACCGGCUAACUCCGUGCCAGCAGCCGCGGUAAUUC